rnacentral:rRNA from 1 species
GCAACUCGCCUACAUGAAGUCGGAAUCGCUAGUAAUCGCGGAUCAGCAUGCCGCGGUGAAUACGUUCCCGGGCCUUGUACACACCGCCCGUCACACCAUGAGAGUUUGUAACACCCAAAGCCGGUGGGGUAACCUUUUGGAGCCAGCCGUCUAAGGUGGGACAGAUGAUUGGGGGUGAAGUCGUAACAAGGUAGC